rnacentral:rRNA from 1 species
GACGAACGCUGGCGGCGUGCUUAACACAUGCAAGUCGAACGGAAAGGCCCUGCUUGCAGGCUCCUCGAGUGGCGAACGGGUGGGUAACACGUGGGUGCUCUGCCCUGCACUUCUUGGUAAGCCUGGAAAACUGGGUCUAUUACCUAAUAGCAGCCACUUUCUGUGUGAUGGUUGAAAAGUUUUUUCGGUGUUGGGUGAGUUCGCGGCCUAUCAGCUUGUUGGUGGGGUAAUGGCCUACCGAGGCGGCGAGGGGUAGCCGGCCUGCGGGGGUGGGCGGCCGCACUGGGACUGACAGGCGGCACAGACGCCUACGGGUGGAAGCAGGGGGGAAGAUUGCACAAGGGGCGCAAGGCGGAUGCAGAGACGCCGCGUGGGGGAUGACGGCCUUCGGGUUGUAAAAACCUUUCGCUAGGGACGAAGCUUGUUGUGACGGUACCUAGAGAAGAAGCACCGGCUAACUACGUG